UGAGGCAGCAGGUUAAAAGUUUGUUACACGCAGUGUGAGAAAAUGUCCGGAGGUGCUGACAUGCUUCACUCCUCUCAUACCUCUUAUAUCUUCGGGAAGCUUGACAUGCCAUAAUCUAUUAACUAUCUCAGCUUGAUUGGCAAGGCUAAUCCUGGAGACUGUACCAGGCGAAUAAUAUGGACCCUUGCCACCAGUCAAGUUUGGAGCUGCUACAGCCUGCAACGGAAAUGGGGGGAAAUUGCCCUUAUUGACAUGAGUGUCUACAAUAUCAUCAAACGUUCAAUUAUAAAAGAAUAACUUGCUAGCAAACAUUAGUAUUAGAUUCUUCCAACAUAUUGUUUCAUUGGUUAUUAAAAUUACAUUUAAAAAAAGUGCAUUACAUUUGGUCAAUCAUUAAUUAGAAAAUAGAGCUUUCUGCAGUUCAGUAUGUGGACAGAAGCUAGUAAUAAAUUGCAGAACCUAUAAUGGCUGAAACUCCAGAUCUAAUCCAACAUUUGUCCAGGGGCUUUCAUGCGGUGCUAGGCUGGAGGAGAAGGUGGUGGAGUCUCCCAUUUCAGAGGUCCUUAAACAGGCACCAGCCCACUGCCAACAGCAGCAGGCACUGCGAGUCCAAGAGAAAAAAAGCUGUACAGCCAGAAGAUGACAACACACUUGCCUUCCCAGACAGAGAGAAAGAGUGACCGAAUAAGACUAUUCCUAUUUCAUAUCAGCCAAAAUCUGAAAAACAUGAUGCACACCCUUCAUUGUCUUGUUAAAGGAUAAAGGCAGAUUACUGUUCAAAGUUCUGAAAUUGUAUACAGCUGUGGAAAAAUUAAGAGACCACUGCACCUUUUUCUUUCCUUUCGAAAAACAUUGGAGUGAGGAACAGAAGGGUUAAA